rnacentral:rRNA from 1 species
GAUGAACGCUGGCGGCGUGCCUAAUACAUGCAAGUCGAGCGAACAGAUGAGGAGCUUGCUCCUCUGACGUUAGCGGCGGACGGGUGAGUAACACGUGGAUAACCUACCUAUAAGACUGGGAUAACUUCGGGAAGCCGGAGCUAAUACCGGAUAAUAUAUUGAACCGCAUGGUUCAAUAGUGAAAGACGGUUUUGCUGUCACUUAUAGAUGGAUCCGCGCCGCAUUAGCUAGUUGGUAAGGUAACGGCGUACCAAGGCAACGAUGCGUAGCCGACCUGAGGGGGUGAUCGGCCACACUGGAACUGAGACACGGUCCAGACUCCUACGGGAGGCAGCAGUAGGGAAUCUUCCGCAAUGGGCGAAAGCCUGACGGAGCAACGCCGCGUGAGUGAUGAAGGUCUUCGGAUCGUAAAACUCUGUUAUUAGGGAAGAACAAAUGUGUAAGUAACUAUGCACGUCUUGACGGUACCUAAUCAGAAAGCCACGGCUAACUACGUG